GCGGAAGUAGCUCAGUUGGUAGAGCGUCACCUUGCCAAGGUGAGGGUCGCGGGUUCAAGUCCCGUCUUCCGCUCCA
rnacentral:tRNA from 1 species